CCUUGGGGACAGUCCACGGGGAGGGAGGGGACACCGGGGACCCCACCCGGGACAUCCCAGCGCCCGAGCCGGGCUGGGCUUUGGCACCUGAUCCCCUCCGGGACAGAGCUGGGCUCGAGGGGCGUCGGGGUGGGGGUAAAAUCACCAAAUUGACCAUUAAAUUAAGAAACCUCCUGUUGUUUGUCCCAAUCCUUUGUGGAUUUCGGGCUGGGGGGGUCGGGGGGAGCUCAUAGUGCUUCACAGGGUUAUUAAAAUACAAAUGCUUAAAGUUUCCUAUAUAAAAAUAUACAAAUGCAAAAAUAGAUAUCAAGAGAGAGAGCCGGGGGGGGCUGGGGGGGCCGGGCCCUGCGCCCCCUCCCCGGGGAGCUUCUGCUGCCUUUCCUUUUUUUGCGUGUUUUUUACAAAAAAAAAAACCAACCCCAAAUCAAAACAAGAUUCCUGCUUCCCGCCGGCUCCCGGAGCUGCCGAGCGAGCGGAGCGAAGCUCGGGAUGGAGAUGGGGCAGCUCCUGCUGUCCCGAGGGACCGCGGCUCCUCCCCGGGCUCCUGGCACGGCUGGAGCUUCUCCCGGGACAACCGUGGGCAGCGGGACACGGGCCGGGCUGGGAAGCACCGAGGGGGCGUGGGGUGGCUGCUCUGCACCUGCCCUGGGGGGACGGGCGACAACAGCGCGGGGCAGGUGGGGAGGGAUGGCCCGGGCAGGUGGGGAUGGAUGGCCCGGGCAGGUGAGAACAGCCCGGGGCAGGUGGGGAUGGAUGGCCUGGGCAGGUGGGGAUGGAUGGCCCGGGCAGGUGGGGAUGGAUGGCCCGGGGCAGGUGGGGAGGGAUGGCCCGGGCAGGUGGGGAUGGAUGGCCCGGGCAGGUGGGGAUGGAUGGCCCGGGCAGGUGGGAUUCAUGGACCAGCUCCCAUGCCGGGGGCUCCCCUCUGCCCCGAGCCCAAAACAGGAGCAGGGAAGUUGUGGGUCCCCUCCUGGGCCCCUGCCCCGCUCAGGCCCUGCUGGGCUCGCCCCAGAGCUGCUGCUGGGAACAAUCCCAGAUUUC